UGGCGGACGGGUGAGUAACGCGUGGGGUAACCUGCCCUGUACAGGGGGAUAACAGUUAGAAAUGACUGCUAACACCGCAUAAGCGCACGGUAAGGCAUCUUAGUGUGUGAAAAUAUUAAUAGGUACAGGAUGGGCCCGCGUCUGAUUAGCCAGUUGGCAGGGUAACGGCCUACCAAAGCGACGAUCAGUAGCCGGCUUGAGAGAGUGAACGGCCACAUUGGGACUGAGACACGGCCCAAACUCCUACGGAAGGCAGCAG
rnacentral:rRNA from 1 species